GAUCCUGGCUCGGGAUGAACGCUGGCGGCAUGCCUAAGACAUGCAAGUCGAACGAGAUGGCCCAGUGAAGGUUGAGUGCUUGCACAAGACUGAAUCUGGAUUCCCAUCUAGUGGCAGACGGGUGAGUAACACGUGGGUGACCUACCUUUUCGUUGGGGAUAACAGUUGGAAACGAUUGCUAAUACCGAAUAAAAUGUAAGAGUCAAUUUUACAUUGAAAGGAGCCUUUAAAGCUUCGCGAUUAGA
rnacentral:rRNA from 1 species